rnacentral:rRNA from 1 species
GAUGAACGCCGGCGUGCCUAAUACAUGCAAGUCGAGCGAACAGGCGAGGAGCUUGCUCCUCUGACGUUAGCGGCGGACGGGUGAGUAACACGUGGAUAACCUACCUAUAAGACUGGGAUAACUUCGGGAAACCGGAGCUAAUACCGGAUAAUAUAUUGAACCGCAUGGUUCAAUAGUGAAAGACGGUUUUGCUGUCACUUAUAGAUGGAUCCGCGCCGCAUUAGCUAGUUGGUAAGGUAACGGCUUACCAAGGCAACGAUGCGUAGCCGACCUGAGAGGGUGAUCGGCCACACUGGAACUGAGACACGGUCCAGACUCCUACGGGAGGCAGCAGUAGGGAAUCUUCCGCAAUGGGCGAAAGCCUGACGGAGCAACGCCGCGUGAGUGAUGAAGGUCUUCGGAUCGUAAAACUCUGUUAUUAGGGAAGAACAAAUGUGUAAGUAACUAUGCACGUCUUGACGGUACCUAAUCAGAAAGCCACGGCUAACUACGUG